rnacentral:rRNA from 1 species
GACGAACGCUGGCGGCGUGCUUAACACAUGCAAGUCGAACGGAAAGGCCCUGCUUUUGUGGGGUGCUCGAGUGGCGAACGGGUGAGUAACACGUGAGUAACCUGCCCUUGACUUUGGGAUAACUUCAGGAAACUGGGGCUAAUACCGGAUAGGAGCUCCUGCUGCAUGGUGGGGGUUGGAAAGUUUCGGCGGUUGGGGAUGGACUCGCGGCUUAUCAGCUUGUUGGUGGGGUAGUGGCUUACCAAGGCUUUGACGGGUAGCCGGCCUGAGAGGGUGACCGGCCACAUGGGGACUAGGAUACGGCCCAGACUCCUACGGGGGGCAGGGGGGGGGAAUAUUGCCAAAGGGGGGGAGGCCUGAUGCAGCAACGCCGGGGGCGGGAUGACGGCCUUCGGGUUGUAAACCGCUUUCGCCUGUGACGAAGCGGGAGUGACGGUAAUGGGUAAAAAAGCACCGGCUAACUACGG